GCGCUUGCUUUGGCAGCACAUACAAUAAAACGGGAACGGUACAGAGAAUAUUAGCGUGCUCCCCCAUGUGCAAAGAUGACAUGUAAAUUUGUGAAAUGGUCCCAAUCUUU